rnacentral:misc_RNA from 1 species
GGAAAAUUGAACAUACGAGAGGUCUACAGUUUAUGAAUGUCUUAUAUGAAUAUCAUUAACAAAGUUUGCCUGAUCAAAAUGAUGAAGAUUACGCACCUUGCAUCCUCUUUUCUCUGGAUCAUUGGAUUUUUGGGCUGGCAAUCUUAGUUUUUUGCAUAAUUGAACCAUGGAUUGAUUUGAAUUGCUUUAGGAGGAAAAGGCUAUCAAAUGUGCAACAAUGAAAAAAUAGUUGGAACAAAU